UCGGGAAUUUUGGGCAAUGGGCGAAAGCCUGACCCAGCAACGCCGCGUGAGGGAUGAAGUAUUUCGGUAUGUAAACCUCGAAAGAAUGGGAAGAAUAAAUGACGGUACCAUUUAUAAGCUCCGGCUAACUACGUGCCAGCAGCCGCGGUAAUACGUAGGGAGCAAGCGUUGUUCGGAUUUACUGGGCGUAAAGGGCGCGUAGGCGGCGCGGUAAGUCACUUGUGAAAUCUCUGAGCUUAACUCAGAACGGCCAAGUGAUACUGCUGUGCUAGAGUGCGGAAGAGGCAACCGGAAUUCUUGGUGUAGCGGUGAAAUGCGUAGAUAUCAAGAGGAACACCUGAGGCGAAGGCGGGUUGCUGGGCCGACACUGACGCUGAUGCGCGAAAGCCAGGGGAACAAACG
rnacentral:rRNA from 1 species